GACGUAGGGCGCGAGCGUUGUCCGGAUUUAUUGGGCGUAAAGGGCGCGUAGGCGGCUUGAUGUGUCAAAGGUGAAAUCCCUCGGCUCAACUGAGGAACUGCCUUUGAAACUGUCUGGCUUGAGGCCGGGAGAGGGUAGCGGAAUUCCCAGUGUAGCGGUGAAAUGCGUAGAUACUGGGAGGAACACCGGUGGCGAAGGCGGCUACCUGGACCGGUUCUGACGCUGAUGCGCGAAAGCGUGGGUAGCAAACAGG
rnacentral:rRNA from 1 species